GACGAACGCUGGCGGCGUGCUUAACACAUGCAAGUCGAACGGAAAGGCCCUGCUUUUGUGGGGUGCUCGAGUGGCGAACGGGUGAGUAACACGUGAGUAACCUGCCCUUGACUUUGGGAUAACUUCAGGAAACUGGGGCUAAUACCGGAUAGGAGCUACUGCUGCAUGGUGGGGGUUGGAAAGUUUCGGCGGUUGGGGAUGGACUCGCGCCCUAUCAGCUUGUUGGUGGGGUAGUGGCUUACCAAGGCUUUGACGGGUAGCCGGCCUGAGAGGGUGACCGGCCAAAUUGGGACUGAGAUGCGGCCCAGACUCCUACGGGAGGCAGCAGAGGGGAAUGUUGCACAAGGGGCGGGAGCCUGAUGCGGCAACGCCGCGUGGGGGAUGACGGGCUUCGGGUUGUAAACCGCUUUCGCCUGUGACGAAGCGUGAGUGACGGUAAUGGGUAAAGAAGCACCGGCUAACUACGUG
rnacentral:rRNA from 1 species